UUCUCUGGAAUCUCUUUAAGACUAAGCUCAGACACAAAGACUGAACUCUGGGCUCAUGAUCUCAGUCUUCUCUUUAAGAAUGAGGCUGUUGACUGGAGUAACUGUGUUUCUGACCUUGGGGACUGUGAUUGAUGCUAAGAUCACCCAGCCCAACUCCAUGGAUUAUGCUGAAGGAAAAGAUGUGAAUCUACCUUGUAACCAUUCUACCAUCGGUGGAAAUGACUAUAUACAUUGGUAUCGGCAAAAUCCCAAUCAAAGGCCACAGUAUAUAAUUCAUGGCUUACGAAAGAAUGUGACUAACGACAUGGCCUCUCUCAUCAUCACAGAAGACAGAAAAUCCAGUACCUUGAUCCUGCCCCGGGUUACCUUGAGGGACUCUGCUGUGUACUACUGUGCUCUGAGAGACACAGUAGGACAGAUGGGGCUGCACCUGUGCAAUAUCUCCCUAGCAAAAGAAUGUGGGGGAGGCAGCAGCUAUUCUGAGCAAAUCUAGAGCCAUUUAGGAGAGUCAGAGAGCAAUAUGAAAGGAGGAAAAUGAAGGGGAGGAAAUAGGAGAACAUGAAUAAGGAAAACAAGAAAGACAGGGAAAAAAGAGGACCAGAAAUGAGCACCUAAUUUGUUGAUGUGGCUGAGAAGUAUGAGGCAGCUAAAGAUUAACUGGUUAACGUAGCACUAAAAAUAAAGAGGCAUUGAAAAUUUGUC